UAAACACUGCACCCAUGCCUGACGCCACUUCCUCCACAGACCUUCCUGCUCCCACCCAGAGGGGCUAAGGUCCCCUCAUCUGUGCCCUGACUUUUCUCUGCACAUCUCUCUCGCCAUCUUAAUGACAUGAGGUAGAAUCAUCUCUUUGUGUCUGCUGUCGCCUGCCAGGACACUGAAAGCGGGGACGUGCUUUUUCAUUUCUGCAUCUUCCGUGCCCAGCACAAGGCUGGACAUCAUGUGUUUACCACACAAGCCGCGGGAGGUGCACAGAUGCAUGGGGCGAGGAGCUGGUGGGCAGUCUGUGGGUGGUAAAGGGCCAGCUGGGGGUGUGGAAGGAAGGGCUGCGGGUCAGCAGAGACACUAAGGGCAGGUGGGAAGUGGACGGACGGACGAACGGACGAACGGAUGGACGAACAGUGGCAUACAGGGCGAGUGGGUGGGCAGAUGCAUGUGUUGAGGGUGGGCACCUGGCCUGAUGCGGUGCAGGCGGCUGCGAGGUGGGAGGAGGCCAGAUGAGGAGGGCUGGCUUACCUUCUUACGCACCUGCUGCUCUUUGGCUGAAUGGGCCUUGACGUGCUUGCGGAGGGAGCUGGGGUCUGUGUAGCGCUUGGAGCAGCCAGGGAUCUGACAGGCGUACGGCUUCUGUAACAUGGGGGGCACGGGUGGGGUGAGUGAGGCCCAUCCCUACGGGACACGCGCCUCCGCGUGACCUGCUGUGGGGAGGUGACCAGGCGAGAGGCUGGCUGCAGGCCAAGAGUACUCUGCCUCAGCCAGCCCGGCCCAGCUGUGGGGAAGGUGCCUGGCCUGGGAGCGGAGCAAGGGGUUUGUGUCUUCAUUCCACCACCAUCCUGGGACCUCAGGCUUCCACAGGACCCUGCUUGAGGACUCUGGCCGCUGCUGGGGCUUGAAGCUUACAAGGCUUCCCUUUGCGGACACGUCUAGUGCUUCCGCUCUCUUAGAAGCCUCUGCCCUGCUGGGACUGCAGGGGACAGGAGAAGGAUUGGAGGAAAUGACACCUCUCAGAGUGAGUGCCAGGGACUGCCAUGUCCUGCCAGACACACCCACGUGGAACUGCCCCCAGGACCUCAAGGCAGCUUUGCCCCUGCUGGACUAAGGAGAGGCCAGGCCAACCUCAGACCCAGGGAGAGGUACCCAUGGCCCUGGGACCUCAUGAGGAGGGGAAGCAGAAAGAGACGACCAUACCUUGGUGCUGCCAUGGAGAGUUGCCAGAUUAAAGAAACGGAGGAGAGCAAAAAGAGAGAGACAGCAGUGAGAAGCUUGCCGGGGUUGGCCUGGGAGGGAGAGCGGAGGCCUGCCGCGGAUGGCCCCUGCUGCCCCCAGCCCACCGCACCCCAGAGGUAGGCUCCCUCUCUCACACACCAUACACACACACACACACACACACACACAAAACCACCACCACCACACACACACACCACACCAUACACACCCACGCACGGCACACACACGUGCGUUCACAUGUGCCCAGGCACACACACGGCCCUGCCCUGUCCCUGAGCCGGCCCCAGGACUGUCCCUUGGGGAUGCUGAUACAAAUCCACUCGCUUUCGUCUAAAAGCAAACAAGCUGGCUCUGUGUCUGCCGGCACAUUCGCCUGGAAACGGGCGGCAAGGCCCAUCUCUGUGUUUGUUUUUCCAGGGCCUGACAUGUGUAGAACAUUCCUCAGGCCCCAUUCCCCGUGAGCCUGUGGGAAACCCUGUGGCCGUCCCCAGCCAGCAGCCAAGCUCCGCCUGGAAUGGCC
rnacentral:lncRNA from 10 species